ACGGGAGACACACGGCGGGUGCUAACGUCCGUCGUGAAGAGGGAAACAACCCAGACCGCCAGCUAAGGUCCCAAAGUCAUGGUUAAGUGGGAAACGAUGUGGGAAGGCCCAGACAGCCAGGAUGUUGGCUUAGAAGCAGCCAUCAUUUAAAGAAAGCGUAAUAGCUCACUGGUCGAGUCGGCCUGCGCGGAAGAUGUAACGGGGCUAAACCAUGCACCGAAGCUGCGGCAGCGGCACGCAAGUGUUGUUGGGUAGGGGAGCGUUCUGUAAGCCGUUGAAGGUGUGCUGUGAGGCAUGCUGGAGGUAUCAGAAGUGCGAAUGCUGACAUAAGUAACGAUAAAGCGGGUGAAAAGCCCGCUCGCCGGAAGACCAAGGGUUCCUGUCCAACGUUAAUCGGGGCAGGGUGAGUCGACCCCUAAGGCGAGGCCGAAAGGCGUAGUCGAUGGGAAACGGGUUAAUAUUCCCGUACUUGGUGUUACUGCGAAGGGGGGACGGAGAAGGCUAUGUUGGCCGGGCGACGGUUGUCCCGGUUUAAGCGUGUAGGCUGGUUUUCCAGGCAAAUCCGGAAAAUCAAGGCUGAGGCGUGACGACGAGGCACCACGGUGCUGAAGCAACAAAUGCCCUGCUUCCAGGAAAAGCCUCUAAGCGUCAGGUAACAUCAAAUCGUACCCCAAACCGACACAGGUGGUCAGGUAGAGAAUACCAAGGCGCUUGAGAGAACUCGGGUGAAGGAACUAGGCAAAAUGGUGCCGUAACUUCGGGAGAAGGCACGCUGACAUGUAGGUGAAGCGGUUUACCCGUGGAGCUGAAGUCAGUCGAAGAUACCAGCUGGCUGCAACUGUUUAUUAAAAACACAGCACUGUGCAAACACGAAAGUGGACGUAUACGGUGUGACGCCUGCCCGGUGCCGGAAGGUUAAUUGAUGGGGUCAGCGCAAGCGAAGCUCCUGAUCGAAGCCCCGGUAAACGGCGGCCGUAACUAUAACGGUCCUAAGGUAGCGAAAUUCCUUGUCGGGUAAGUUCCGACCUGCACGAAUGGCGUAAUGAUGGCCAGGCUGUCUCCACCCGAGACUCAGUGAAAUUGAACUCGCUGUGAAGAUGCAGUGUACCCGCGGCAAGACGGAAAGACCCCGUGAACCUUUACUAUAGCUUGACACUGAACACUGGUCCUUGAUGUGCAGGAUAGGUGGGAGGCUUUGAAGCGUGGACGCCAGUCUGCGUGGAGCCGUCCUUGAAAUACCACCCUUUAAUGGCUGGUGUUCUAACGUGGGCCCCUGACCGGGGUUGCGGACAGUGUCUGGUGGGUAGUUUGACUGGGGCGGUCUCCUCCCAAAGAGUAACGGAGGAGCACGAAGGUUGGCUAAUCCUGGUCGGACAUCAGGAGGUUAGUGCAAUGGCAUAAGCCAGCUUGACUGCGAGCGUGACGGCGCGAGCAGGUGCGAAAGCAGGUCAUAGUGAUCCGGUGGUUCUGAAUGGAAGGGCCAUCGCUCAACGGAUAAAAGGUACUCCGGGGAUAACAGGCUGAUACCGCCCAAGAGUUCAUAUCGACGGCGGUGUUUGGCACCUCGAUGUCGGCUCAUCACAUCCUGGGGCUGAAGUAGGUCCCAAGGGUAUGGCUGUUCGCCAUUUAAAGUGGUACGCGAGCUGGGUUUAGAACGUCGUGAGACAGUUCGGUCCCUAUCUGCCGUGGGCGCUGGAAGAUUGAGGGGGGCUGCUCCUAGUACGAGAGGACCGGAGUGGACGCAUCACUGGUGUUCGGGUUGUCAUGCCAAUGGCACUGCCCGGUAGCUAAAUGCGGAAGAGAUAAGUGCUGAAAGCAUCUAAGCACGAAACUUGCCCCGAGAUGAAUCUUCCCUGAGACUUUAAGUCUCCUGAAGGAACGUUGAAGACGACGACGUUGAUAGGCCGGGUGUGUAAGCGCAGCGAUGCGUUGAGCUAACCGGUACUAAUGAACCGUGAGGCUUAACCUUACAACGCCGAAG
rnacentral:rRNA from 1 species